CAGGCCUAACACAUGCAAGUCGAACGCACCUUUCGGGGUGAGUGGCAGACGGGUGAGUAACACGUGGGAACGUACCCUUUGGUUCGGAAUAACCCUGGGAAACUAGGGCUAAUACCGGAUACGGCCGAGAGGCGAAAGGUUUACUGCCAAAGGAUCGGCCCGCGUCCGAUUAGCUAGUUGGUUGGGGUAAUGGCUCACCAAGGCGACGAUCGGUAGCUGGUCUGAGAGGAUGACCAGCCACAUUGGGACUGAGACACGGCCCAAACUCCUACGGGAGGCAGCAGUGGGGAAUAUUGGACAAUGGGCGCAAGCCUGAUCCAGCCAUGCCGCGUGGGUGAUGACGGCCUUAGGGUUGUAAAGCUCUUUUACCUGGGAAGAUAAUGACGGUACCAGGAGAAUAAGCCCCGGCUAACUUCGUGCCAGCAGCCGCGGUAAU
rnacentral:rRNA from 1 species